rnacentral:rRNA from 1 species
AUGCAAGUCGAGCGGAAACGAAGAGGUGCUUGCACCUUUGGCGUCGAGCGGCGGACGGGUGAGUAAUGCUUGGGAUAUGCCUUAUGGUGGGGGACAACAGUUGGAAACGACUGCUAAUACCGCAUAAUGUCUACGGACCAAAGUGGGGGACCUUCGGGCCUCACGCCAUAAGAUUAGCCCAAGUGGGAUUAGCUAGUUGGUGAGGUAAUGGCUCACCAAGGCGACGAUCCCUAGCUGGUUUGAGAGGAUGAUCAGCCACACUGGGACUGAGACACGGCCCAGACUCCUACGGGAGGCAGCAGUGGGGAAUAUUGCACAAUGGGCGCAAGCCUGAUGCAGCCAUGCCGCGUGUGUGAAGAAGGCCUUCGGGUUGUAAAGCACUUUCAGUAAGGAGGAAAGGUUAAGUGUUAAUAGCACUUAGCUGUGACGUUACUUACAGAAGAAGCACCGGCUAACUCCGUGCCAGCAGCCGCGGUAAUACGGAGGGUGCGAGCGUUAAUCGGAAUUACUGGGCGUAAAGCGUACGCAGGCGGUUUGUUAAGCGAGAUGUGAAAGCCCCGGGCUCA